ACCUCUUACUGAACUCCAAGUUUUAAACCUAUAGAAUUUGAUCUAUCAUCUCCGCCUUUGAAACAUUAUCAAUUUGAAGAUAUAGAGACUUGAAUUGAGAGAUAUAAUCUUGCACUGACCUAGCUUAUAUAAGAUUUGCUAAGUGAUCAUGCUAUCUUCUCCACAUUGAUGGGCCAAAAUUGAUUUUUAAACUUGGUCUCAAACUCCUCC
rnacentral:lncRNA from 1 species